CAGCAGCCGCGGGAAAACCAGCACCUCGAGUGGUCAGGAGGUUUAUUGGGCCUAAAGCAUCCGUAGCCGGUUGCAUAAGUUUUCGGUUAAAUCUAUGCGCUUAUCGUAUAGGCCGCCGAAAAUACUGUGCAGCUAGGGAGUGGGAGAGGUACACGGUACUCGAUAGGAAGGGGUAAAAUCCUUUGAUCUAUUGAUGACCACCUGUGGCGAAGGCGGUGUACCAGAACACGUUCGACGGUGAGGGAUGAAAGCUGGGGGAGCAAACCGGAUUAGAUACCCCCGUAGUCCCUGUCUCUUAUAA
rnacentral:rRNA from 1 species